rnacentral:rRNA from 1 species
GAAGUAAAAGUCGUAACAAGGUCUCCGUUGGUGAACCAGCGGAGGGAUCAUUACUGAGUUACCGCUCAUCAACCCUUUGUGAACAUACCUUAACUGUUGCUUCGGCGGGUAGGCGUCCCCUAAAAAGGACGUCUCCCGGCCCUCUCCCGUCCGCGGGUGGGGCGCCCGCCGGAGGAUAACCAAACUCUGAUUUAACGACGUUUCUUCUGAGUGACACAAGCAAAUAAUCAAAACUUUUAACAACGGAUCUCUUGGUUCUGGCAUCGAUGAAGAACGCAGCGAAAUGCGAUAAGUAAUGUGAAUUGCAGAAUUCAGUGAAUCAUCGAAUCUUUGAACGCACAUUGCGCCCGCCAGCAUUCUGGCGGGCAUGCCUGUUCGAGCGUCAUUUCAACCCUCAAGCUCUGCUUGGUGUUGGGGCUCUACGGUUGACGUAGGCCCUUAAAGGUAGUGGCGGACCCUCUCGGAGCCUCCUUUGCGUAGUAACAUUUCGUCUCGCAUUGGGAUUCGGAGGGACUCUAGCCGUAAAACCCCCAAUUUUACUAAGGUUGACCUCGGAUCAGGUAGGAAUACCCGCUGAACUUAAGCAUAUCAAUAAGCGGAGGAA